AAGGAUUUAAGUUAAAUUAAACUAAGAACCUUCAAAGUUCUAAAUAAAGUAAAUUCUUUAAGCCUUA
rnacentral:tRNA from 1 species